rnacentral:rRNA from 1 species
GAUUAACGCUAGCGGCAGGCCUAAUACAUGCAAGUCGAACGGGAUUAUUGGUAGCAAUACUGAUAUGAGAGUGGCGCACGGGUGCGUAACGCGUAUGCAACCUACCUUUAACUGGGGGAUAGCCUUCCGAAAGGAAGAUUAAUACCGCAUAAACAAUGAAGUGGCAUCACUUUAUUGUCAAACUACCGGUGGUUAAAGAUGGGCGAUGCGUAAUAUUAGCUAGUUGGUGAGGAA